CAUCGGCCCCGCGCGACGUAUUCCCGCCAAUCCCGCCAGGUCCGGAAGGAAGCAACGGUAACGGGCUCUUACGUGCGCAGCGGGUUCGCCGGUGUCC
rnacentral:SRP_RNA from 1 species